GACGAACGCUGGCGGCGUGCCUAAUACAUGCAAGUCGAACGAGAGCGACCGGUGCUUGCACUGGUCAAUCUAGUGGCGAACGGGAGAGUAACACGUGGGUAACCUGCCCAUCAGAGGGGGAUAACAUCCGGAAACGGAUGCUAAAACCGCAUAGGUCUUCGAACCGCAUGGUUUGAAGAGGAAAAGAGGCGCAAGCUUCUGCUGAUGGAUGGACCCGCGGUGCAUUAGCUAGUUGGUGAGGUAACGGCUCACCAAGGCCGUGAUGCAUAGCCGACCUGAGAGGGUGAUCGGCCACAUUGGGACUGAGACACGGCCCAAACUCCUACGGGAGGCAGCAGUAGGGAAUCUUCCGCAAUGGACGCAAGUCUGACGGAGCAACGCCGCGUGAGUGAAGAAGGUUUUCGGAUCGUAAAACUCUGUUGUUAGAGAAGAACAAGUGCUAGAGUAACUGUUAGCGCCUUGACGGUAUCUAACCAGAAAGCCACGGCUAACUACGUG
rnacentral:rRNA from 1 species